UUCGAAACUGGCAGGCUAGAGUCUUGUAGAGGGGGGUAGAAUUCCAGGUGUAGCGGUGAAAUGCGUAGAGAUCUGGAGGAAUACCGGUGGCGAAGGCGGCCCCCUGGACAAAGACUGACGCUCAGGUGCGAAAGCGUGGGGAGCAAACAGGAUUAGAUACCCUGGUAGUCCACGCCGUAAACGAUGUCGAUUUGGAGGUUGUGCCCUUGAGGCGUGGCUUCCGGAGCUAACGCGUUAAAUCGACCGCCUGGGGAGUACGGCCGCAAGGUUAAAACUCAAAUGAAUUGACGGGGGCCCGCACAAGCGGUGGAGCAUGUGGUUUAAUUCGAUGCAACGCGAAGAACCUUACCUG
rnacentral:rRNA from 1 species